rnacentral:tRNA from 1 species
GUUGGCCUUGUGGUUAGGACGCCAGGCUGAUAACCUGGGCGUCGCAGGUUCGA